rnacentral:rRNA from 1 species
UACGAAGGGGGCUAGCGUUGUUCGGAAUUACUGGGCGUAAAGCGCUCGUAGGCUGACAUUUAAGUCAGGGGUGAAAUCCCGAGGCUCAACCUCGGAACUGCCUUUGAUACUGGGUGUCUAGAGUCCGGAAGAGGUGAGUGGAAUUCCCAGUGUAGAGGUGAAAUUCGUAGAUAUUGGGAAGAACACCGGUGGCGAAGGCGGCUCACUGGUCCGGUACUGACGCUGAGGAGCGAAAGCGUGGGGAGCAAACAGG